UACGGAGGGUGCAAGCGUUGCUCGGAAUUAUUGGGCGUAAAGGGUAGGUAGGUGGUCUCAUUUGUCUAGGGUGAAAUCCUUGGGCUUAACUCAAGAACUGCCCUAGAAACGGUGAGACUCGAGUCCUGGAGAGGGUCGUGGAAUUCCCGGUGUAGCGGUGAAAUGCGUAGAGAUCGGGAGGAACACCAGAGGCGAAGGCGGCGACCUGGACAGGCACUGACACUCAACUACGAAAGCGUGGGGAGCAAACAGG
rnacentral:rRNA from 1 species